GCGUGUACGUUUCGUACGCACACUUUUCUGCUUUGAACGUGCUUUACUCUCAAAAUACAUAAAUUUCGAAAUUAUAACAAAAAGUUUUUCAAAUUUACUGCCGUCUAUCAGGGUGAAAAGAAACGUGACACCGGUGGACCCAAUGAGAUUGUUGCCUGUACAACCUGCGGUGGCAAUAGUGGCACCCCCUGUACACACUCGGCCAAUAAUGGUUGCGCCACAGAGACUUGCUUUGUCCAAGUGCGCAAGAAAGAACCGCCACAUCCAAUACGUAUCGCAAAAACUAUAGAUGUAAUUGCUAGGAUUACGUUUCCAACAGCAUACGCCAUUUUCUUAAUAUUCUUCUUUGUCCACUAUAAAGGUUUUUCAUAAAAUUAACGAAGCAGCAGCGGCAGCGGUGCAAGCAAACAAAAGACAACAAAAAUCAAUUAAAAUUGAAACUCAAAACAAAACAAAA